GAUGAACGCUGGCGGCGUGCCUAAUACAUGCAAGUCGAGCGAACAGACGAGGAGCUUGCUCCUCUGACGUUAGCGGCGGACGGGUGAGUAACACGUGGAUAACCUACCUAUAAGACUGGGAUAACUUCGGGAAACCGGAGCUAAUACCGGAUAAUAUAUUGAACCGCAUGGUUCAAUAGUGAAAGACGGUUUUGCUGUCACUUAUAGAUGGAUCCGCGCCGCAUUAGCUAGUUGGUAAGGUAACGGCUUACCAAGGCAACGAUGCGUAGCCGACCUGAGAGGGUGAUCGGCCACACUGGAACUGAGACACGGUCCAGACUCCUACGGGAGGCAGCAGUAGGGAAUCUUGCGAAAUGGGCGAAAGCCUGACGGAGCAACGCCGCGUGAGUGAUGAAGGUCUUCGGAUCGUAAACUCUGUUAUUAGGGAAGAACAAAUGUGUAAGUAACUAUGCACGUCUUGACGGUACCUAAUCAAAAAGCCACGGCUAACUACGUG
rnacentral:rRNA from 1 species